rnacentral:rRNA from 1 species
UCUAGGCUGAACCACUCUGCACAUGCUCGAUUUUGUCUGACCUUGAAAGUUAAGCAGUGUUAGGCCAGCUCCAUACUUAUCUAGGAGAUAUCCUAGGAGUACCAAGCACCACAGGAA